rnacentral:rRNA from 1 species
GCGUUAUCCGGAAUUAUUGGGCGUAAAGCGCGCGUAGGCGGUUUUUUAAGUCUGAUGUGAAAGCCCACGGCUCAACCGUGGAGGGUCAUUGGAAACUGGAAAACUUGAGUGCAGAAGAGGAAAGUGGAAUUCCAUGUGUAGCGGUGAAAUGCGCAGAGAUAUGGAGGAACACCAGUGGCGAAGGCGACUUUCUGGUCUGUAACUGACGCUGAUGUGCGAAAGCGUG